AGCCCUGACUAAGCCAGGGAGUGAGGCCAACAAGGCCAGUGCUGUUGAGGGCUGCCUGAAGCCACAGGUCUUUCAGGGUCCAGAUGGCUUUCCUGGCCUAACUUGUGCUCCCACACGUACGCGCACUCCCGCUAAAACUAGGAGCUCCCCAGCCAUGUCCUUUCCCAGAGAGACACUUAACUGGUGCCAUUUUUAUGGGGGAUAAUAAGACCGGUAUCACUGCUGGUGUGCUGGUUCCAAGGUCCUUUCAUCUCCCACGUCUCAUCUGAUGUAGAGGACAGUCAGGAGUCGUCUAGAUGCCUAUCACCUCGGUGUUCCAGAGAACCACGAGAGCCAGAAUCCAUGUUUCACUGAGCAGUCCUUUCAUGAUUCAAGUCGCCACAAGUUGAGGAUCACGAGGAAGAGGAAUCAAUACUAAUCAAGCCUCAUGUCAAAGAAAAAUGUCAUUCUGCUGCUAAAGGAGGAGGGAGAAUGCUGUACUGGCAGAACGUGAGGUGAUAUGUGCCUACAGAUAGCUGAACUCCAUAUCUCCUAGGCCCAGGGUGUUGGGCAACUGCAGGCCAACCCAUUUGACUCUUCCUCAUUUGACUAGGCCUACGGCCGA